CUGAAACAAAUAGAAGAAAAAAAAAAAAAAAAAAAAGAAUCUCCUCAUUCUCCUCCAAUCAAAAUUCGACAACACAUGAUUAACCACAGGCUAUUGUCCCCCAUGCAAAAAUCCAAAAUCCAAAUAUAUAUUCCCCCUUCUCCAUUCCCUUUUCUGGUUCCCAGCCAAUUUCUCAACCUUUCGGCAGAGAGAGAGAGAGAGAUUAGUGGAGGGAGAGAUUAGUUCACACCUACUUCUCCAUUUCUUCCACCACCUCUUCCCCCUACUGUCGCAACUGAACUCAACUCACCCAAUCCAACUUCUAAAAAUCAGCCCGUUACAGCCUUGUUCCAACUCUGUUUAAGCACACCAAAACAGCUCGUGAAAUACCAGUUCCGAACAGCUCCUUUCAGCCCCAAAAAUCAGCUGCAUUCCAGUCCAGAACCGCUGCGAUUCAGCUCCAAAAGCCGCCAUGUUCUGGUCCGAAUAGCUCGGCAAACCAGCUUCUUUCCAUUUCCAAAUCAGCUUCAAAACCCAUUCAAACCAGCACCGAACUGGGUCUCGAUCCGGCUCCAAAACAGCUCCAAUCGCAGCCUUGGAAAUCAGUCCGGAAAGCAGCCGAGCUCCGCCACCUCUCAUCACCAUCCGGAGGCAUCUCCACUGCCGUACACUACCACCUUUCGACCGAGCCGCCGCCACUCCGACCCGUCCUGAAAUCUCUCCGAAAACUGUUUCGCCGGACGAGAGGUACCGAAGAUGGAACAGAAGUGUCGUACGAUUCGAUCGAGUUAAAUCCUAAUGAGGAAGAAGCUGAAAACCUUGGUUUCCGUGCGCAUAGUCGUUCUGAUUAAUUUAAGUCUACUUUAUUUUGGAAGCUUCUAAGUUUAUUUGGAUAUUGUAAUAUUUUGAUUUAUUCGAAACGGUUGUAAAAUAAUGACAUUUGCUUUUGAAAUGGCGACGCAAUAAAUCUAUGAAUUUCUU